GGGGUUGUGGCUCAGUGGCAGAGCAUUUGCCUAGCAUGCGUGAGGCACUGGGUUCGAUUCCUGGCACCA
rnacentral:tRNA from 1 species